GAUGAACGCUGGCGGCGUGCCUAAUACAUGCAAGUCGAGCGAACAGACGAGGAGCUUGCUCCUCUGACGUUAGCGGCGGACGGGUGAGUAACACGUGGAUAACCUACCUAUAAGAAUGGGAUAACUACGGGAAACCGGCGCUAAUACCGGAAAAUAUAUUGACCCGCAAGGUUCACUAGUGAAAGACGGUUUUGCUGUCACUUAUAGAUGGAUCCGCGCCGCAUCAGCUAGUUGGUAGGGUAACGGCUUACCCAGGCAGGGAUGCGUAGCCGACCUGAGCGGGUGAUCGGCCACACUGGAACUGAGACACGGCCCAGACUCCUACGGGAGGCAGCAGUAGGGAAUCUUCCGCGAUGGGCGAAUGCCUGACGGAGCACCGCCGCGUGAGUGAUGAAGGUCUUCGGCUCGUAAAGCUCUGUUAUUAGGGAAGAACAAAUGUGUAGGUAACUAUGCACGUCUUGACGGUACCUAAUCAGAAAGCCACGGCUAACUACGUG
rnacentral:rRNA from 1 species